CAAAAGUAAAGAAAUCUUGGACCGGUAAGAUCAACACACCAUUUUUAGAAUUUCUUUGAAAAUCAGUUUCGGAAGGUUUUAAUUAAUGUUUGUGAAACUCUGAGAUUUAUCUGUGGAUCUCAUUCUAUUUAUUUGUCAAUAUGUUUUAUUUUUGUUAAUCUCAUCAAAAUCAUUUAUUUGUGGAUCAUAAUCUGUUUAUUUGGAAUAACGCAACAAUUCUAUCUCCAUAAAUAAUGACCAGUCGUACACUCUGGGAAACACCUUCUAUUCCCCAAUGCAGAGCUCAGCUCUGAUACUUUCAGUUUCGCUAAACGUGUAGUGUGUGCGAAGUUUGGACGCCGAGAACAAAAGAGCCAUUCAGAACUUCACCAAUAUGAGAUUUGUGUGAACAUCGGUGAGCAGCUGAAGUUAGAUGUUCUGUUGUCAGAAGCUGAUAAAGUGCAGCAUCAGAGCAGCGGAAGCAAAAAGUGGAAGGAGGUUUGGAAGAGAGGCCAUGGUGUUCAAAAUGAUCAGCUGAAUGAUAGAGAUGGAAACUUGAUCAUCAAUAACUUUACAGCCAGUGAUUCAGGAACAUACAAAGUUUUGGGCUCUGAAGGAGAAACCUUGAUCACAGUGACUGUUGAAGGAUCUCGUUCAGGUGGUAAACUCAAGAGUGAUGCUGAACAACACAAGCACUGGAUUGGACCGGCUGGGCUGCCUGGGUUCGUUUGGGUGGUUCUUUGCCUUUUUUAAAAGAAGAAAGAUACACCGAUGUCUGGAUGGAGGUCUGAGAAGGUUCUACAUUUGAUGAAGAACCAUCUUCAUGAAUAUUAAAAAUUAUGUUCUAGAAUAUUAAUGCAAUCCAGAUGUGCUACAUCUGCCAUAUUGUCAUGUGACUUAUUUCCGAAAGUAGUAGGACAUCCAGGUACUUUCUGACAGCUGUUUUAUAAGUAUUACAAGGUUUUAUUGCCAUCUGAAUCCAUAAUGUCAGUGUGUUUCUCCCACCACCCGCAUAUUUCCCUGACUGAAUUACCUACUGUUUUUUUUUUUUUUUGAACAAACAAAAAGGUGAUGUGGUAAUUUCACUGCUGCCAAAUCCACAUCCGAGUUUACAAGAUGGGAUCAAUUUUAAAUUCACUGUUUAAAUUCUUUUUGGCAGCUCCAUAUGAUAACUGUUGUGCUUUACUGUAAUUUGCAUUAAAGAUCUACACUUUUAUUACUGAAAGAUAUAUAGCAUAUUAUUGCACCAAAGGACAUGUAAUGCAAUUUUUAAUGUUUGUUUGUAUGUAUGUAUGUAUGUAUGUAUGUAUGUAUGUAUGUAUUUAUUUAUUUAUGUAUGUCUUUUAAUGUCACUUUAAGUCCCUCAGUUGUCCACCAGAGGUCUCACUCCACAGAGUAUUGACUAUUGGACUAUAGUUCCCAGGAAGCCUCAUACCUGGACUAAUUUCCGCUCACCUGAUCGUUGCACUCAGAUUAUUUAUAAACUGUGUUUUGCUCUCUCUUCGUGAAGUCUUGUUUAUUGUGUAUCUUGCCUGUGUAUCGACACUGUCUGGACUUUUACUUCACAACCCUAGCUGCCUGCCCUAGUCUGUUGUUUGUUGUGGACUGGACUUGUGUUUGUUUGCUGCCUGCCCUGAUCCUCUGCCUGGGUUUGACCACGCUUACUGUUUUGCCUCUGACAAUCCUGGUAUUUCACCCACUGCCUGUUUGUACUUUGAGACUGCUUCCACUAGAUGAACCACACAUGGAUUCCACUCAACCAGAGUCUGUGUUACAAUCAGGCUGAAACGAUUUUGUCUAAAAUAGAACGACUCAUAUGUGGAAUCUAUCAGUCAGGAGCUGCACAAUGUUUGACAGAUUUUACACUGCUAUUGUCAAUUAAGUAAACAAACUGAUUAAAGCUAUUCUUUUUCUGAUGUUUAGAAUUAUACCUUUUAUUAUGUUAAAGAAAAAAAAAUUGUACAGUCUUUACUGUGUGGGCCAAAUGUGUAAUUCUCUAACCUGCUAAAAACAGUAAACAUUUACAAGUUCUCUUAUAUUACAAAAUAAAUAAAAAAUAAAUGAGAGCA
ensembl:lncRNA